GACGAACGCUGGCGGCGUGCUUAACACAUGCAAGUCGAACGGAAAGGCCCUGCUUUUGUGGGGUGCUCGAGUGGCGAACGGGUGAGUAACACGUGAGUAACCUGCCCUUGACUUUGGGAUAACUUCAGGAAACUGGGGCUAAUACCGGAUAGGAGCUCCUGCUGCAUGGUGGGGGUUGGAAAGUUUCGGCGGUUGGGGAUGGACUCGCGGCUUAUCAGCUUGUUGGUGAGGUAGUGGCUUACCAAGGGUUUGACGGGUAGCCGGCCUGAGAGGGUUACCGGCCACAUUGGGACUGAGAUACGGCCCAGAAUCCUACGGGAGGCAGCAGUGGGGAAUAUUGCACAAUGGGCGGAAGCCUGAUGCAGCAACGCCGCGUGCGGGAUGACGGCCUUCGGGUUGUAAACCGCUUUCGCCUGUGACGAAGCGUGAGUGACGGUAAUGGGUAAAGAAGCACCGGCUAACUACGUG
rnacentral:rRNA from 1 species